rnacentral:rRNA from 1 species
CCCUGUGGCCAAACCUCCAUUUCAAGGCCUUAUCUUGUCAGAUCUCAGAAGCUAAGCAAGGCUGGGCCUGGAAAGUACUUGGAUGGGAGACCACUGGGAAAUUCAAGGUUGGGCGGCAGUGG